UAGUGGGGGACAACGUUUCGAAAGGAACGCUAAUACCGCAUACGUCCUACGGGAGAAAGCGAGGGGACCUUCGGGCCUUGCGCUAUCAGAUGAGCCUAGGUCGGAUUAGCUAGUAGGUGAGGUAAUGGCUCACCUAGGCGACGAUCCGUAACUGGUCUGAGAGGAUGAUCAGUCACACUGGAACUGAGACACGGUCCAGACUCCUACGGGAGGCAGCAGUGGGGAAUAUUGGACAAUGGGCGAAAGCCUGAUCCAGCCAUGCCGCGUGUGUGAAGAAGGUCUUCGGAUUGUAAAGCACUUUAAGUUGGGAGGAAGGGCAGUAAGUUAAUACCUUGCUGUUUUGACGUUACCAACAGAAUAAGCACCGGCUAACUUCGUG
rnacentral:rRNA from 1 species